AUGAACGCUGGCGGCGUGCCUAAUACUUGCCAGUCGAGCGAACGGACGAGAAGCUUGCUUUUCUGAUGUUAGCGGCGGACGGGUGAGUAACACGUGGAUAACCUACCUAUAAGACUGGGAUAACUUCGGGAAACCGGAGCUAAUACCGGAUAAUAUUUUGAACCGCAUGGUUCAUAAGUGAAAGACGGUCUUGCUGUCACUUAUAGAUGGAUCCGCGCUGCAUUAGCUAGUUGGUAAGGUAACGGCUUACCAAGGCAACGAUGCAUAGCCGACCUGAGAGGGUGAUCGGCCACACUGGAACUGAGACACGGUCCAGACUCCUACGGGAGGCAGCAGUAGGGAAUCUUCCGCAAUGGGCGAAAGCCUGACGGAGCAACGCCGCGUGAGUGAUGAAGGUCUUCGGAUCGUAAAACUCUGUUAUUAGGGAAGAACAUAUGUGUAAGUAACUGUGCACAUCUUGACGGUACCUAAUCAGAAAGCCACGGCUAACUACGUG
rnacentral:rRNA from 1 species